CCAAUUUGAACCCGAUCGAAUCCCCAUUCACAUUAGGGUUAUAUACACCCUGGUUCAGAAUCAAACUCAAUCCACUGAAUUUCGUUCAUCUUUUAUUCAAUCUUCAGCAUUUCAAAGGUCUCUUAAUCGAAGGUGUCCUAGCACUUUGUGGGGGUAAUUAACAAUAGACGCUUGCGUUUAUUGGAAGCCAUAGAUCCACAAUACCUGAUCCCUAUACAAAUUCAAAUAUUAAUCUACAUCAUGAAUACUACCCCACGGUAAAAAUCAAAAUAAGAUAAGCCGUGCGAGGUGCGUCAUUCGUGGUGGCAGACAUCCACCUACUCCCCUUCUCCUCCUGCACCCUCGCCGCCCCUCGAUUUUGACGAUAGUAGGGAGGAAAUCGAGGUGGGUGUUGAUGGAGAGGUAGGCAAGGGCAACGAGGGCGAAGGCGAGGCGGUGGAGGAGGGCGAAGGGGAUGUGGGCCAGGGCGAGGCAGUGGAGGACGGCGAGGCGGCAAGGCGGCGAGCUGGAGGGAGGCGAAGCAACAAGAAAGAGGGCGGAGGGGUAUUUUCGGCAUAAAAAAAAUAUUUUAUAACGGAACCCUAACGGUAGGGGGUAAAGUGCACAUUUUUAAUUUUACAAGAGGGCAAAGUGUAGGUUUUUAAAUGUCAGGAGGAAAAAGUAAAAAAGCAGGUUAUUACAGGGGGGUUUUCUGUAAUUUAGCCUAAAAUCUAACAAUGUGUGCCAAAGAGUGCAUCAUUGCCAUCUAUUAUUAUGGAUCUCUCUCUAUUGGUUGGACUUGAUGAGUGGUAGGUGAUUGUAUGAUUUAGUUAUUUAAAAUUUGAAUCAGUACGAAUAGUUAAUCUUAAAUAUCUUUGCAGGUUAACUAUCCAUUAUAAUUAAAGUGAAGGUUCAUCAUCUAGUGUUCGAGAACAUACUGAUUGGGAAGUAAAAAAUGCGAGUGAUAAUAAGGAUGUAACUAGAACUGAUGAUGAGCAUGUAAUUGAAAGUGACGAUGAAGAUGUAAAUGGAACCGAUAAUGA
rnacentral:lncRNA from 1 species